rnacentral:rRNA from 1 species
GACGAACGCUGGCGGCGUGCUUAACACAUGCAAGUCGAACGGAAAGGCCCUGCUUUUGUGGGGUGCUCGAGUGGCGAACGGGUGAGUAACACGUGAGUAACCUGCCCUUGACUUUGGGAUAACUUCAGGAAACUGGGGCUACUACCGUAUAGGAGCUCCUGCUGCAUUGUGGGGGUUGGAAAGUUUCGGCGGUUGGGUAUGGACUCGCGGCUUAUCAGCUUGUUGGUGGGGUAGUGGCUUACCAAGGCUUUGACGGGUAGCCGGCCUGAGAGGGUGACCGGCCACAUUGGGAAUGAGAUACGGACCAGACUCAUACGGGAGGCAGCAGUGGGGAAUAUUGCACAAUGGGCGGAAGCCUGAUGCAGCAACGCCGCGUGCGGGAUGACGGCCUUCGGGUUGUAAACCGAUUUCGCCUGUGACGAAGCGUGAGUGACGGUAAUGGGUAAAGAAGCACCGGCUAACUACGUG